CUUCCUUUUUAAUGGCACCUUGAUAUUGUUGGCAGGAUAAUUUCUUCAUUGUUGGGUAAAAGUUGUAGUAGGCAGAUUUCUAAGUGGCUCCCUAUGCUAUGCAGUUAUAUGUUACCUAACAUGGAAAUGGGGAUUUUGAGUAUAAAAUUAAGGCUUUGACUCACUGACUUAAAACAAGGAGAUUAUCUGUUUGGAUCUAAUCUAUCAACAUGAUCUCUUUAAAAUCCACAUCUACUUCCUUCUCUAACUAAUCACAGAAGAGGAAAUCAGUGAUAUUCAAACUGGGCAUGACCUAAGAAUCUUUAGCAAGAACACAGUGGAGAUCAUAUGAACUUGAGUCACCUGAAGAGCUUAGUAGACAAUUUUUUGAAGAGACUCAAAAAGUGAGCUCAACUUAGCAACAGCUUGAUUGGAGUCUUGCAAGACCCUGAGGAGCAAACCCAGGUAAAGCAUGGGAGAAAGAUGAAAUGCAUUCCAGAAAGAGGAACUGGCUUAUGGAAAACAUGAAGAUCCCCUACAGGAGACAAUAAUUCAAGAUGUGAGAGUGGCAUAAAGAAAUAAUUGUUGGCAUUUGGCACUGGAACUCAAGAUCAUUGAGCAACCGGGCCAGAAUGGACCUUAUUCUUGGUAAGACAAAGGAGUCUAAGCAGAAUCAUGGGGGAGGAAAAUAAAUUAAUCAAAACAAGACAGAAAAUCUGAA